ensembl:lncRNA HDAC4-AS1 HDAC4 antisense RNA 1
UCGCGGUUGAGGAGGCGCAGGGACCGGGGGCCAGUAGUGGCCGUAAACACGGGCCCCGGCCGUGUCCGGUCGCACUCGGUAGCCCGCAUGGCUGCCUAGCGGAGUAUGACAACUUUUCAACUUGAGUGCACACACUGUCCCCGGAAUCCCGCGUUCCAGGGAGGAAGCGCCUUUGACAGCGCGCGCCGGUUCGUGGGGCCCGACGGCGUGGGCCUGUGGUUGCGGACCUGGCGGAGAUGCGCGUUCGCUUCGAUUGUAGGCCAUUCCUUUUAGGAGCUGAGAAAGGAUCCGUUUUUACAGCAUUCUCGACCUGUGAUUCUUGGUGGGGGAAACUAGUUAUGUGGAUAAAAAUACAGUUAGCAAAAUAAAAAUGCCAAUUUUACA